AUAAGAUAUCAAGGGCAACAGGUGAAUGCCUUGGCGCUGAGAGGCGAUGAAAGACGCGGUAAGCUGCGAUAAGCAUCGGGGAGGAGCUAAACAUCCUACGAUCCGAUGAUUUCUGAAUGGGGAAACCCGAUGGGAGUCAUGUCCCAUCAUCCUGAGCUGAAUACAUAGGCCCAGAGAAGCCAACCCGGGGAAGUGAAACAUCUCAGUACCCGGAGGAAGAGAAAUCAAACGAGACUCCCAAAGUAGCGGCGAGCGAAAUGGGAAGAGCCCAAACCGAGUGGUUUCGACCAUUCGGGGUUGUAGGGCCGGCAUACGCGAUUCUGGAGUAGGCAGAGGAAGUGAGCUGGAAAGCUCCGCCACAGCGGGUGAUAGCCCCGUACUCGAAACCGAAAAGGACGCAGCCGGUACCUGAGUACUGCGAGGCACGUGAAACCUCGUGGGAAUCUAGGGGGACCAUCCUCUAAGGCUAAGUACUCCUCAGCGACCGAUAGUGAACUAGUACCGUGAGGGAAAGGUGAAAAGAACCCCUGUUAGGGGAGUGAAAUAGAAUCUGAAACCUGUUGCCUACAAGCUGCGAGAGCUACUUCGGUAGUGAUCGCGUGCCUUUUGUAUAAUGAGUCAGCGAGUUACUCUACCGUGCGAGGUUAAGCGAAAGCGUAGCCGUAGUGAAAGCGAGGCUUAAUAGGCCGACUAGUACGUUGGAGUAGACCCGAAACCGGGUGAUCUAUCCAUGAGCAGGUUGAAGCAAGGGUAAAGCCUUGUGGAGGACCGAACCGUCAACGGCUGAAAACGUUCCGGAUGACUUGUGGAUAGGGGUGAAAGGUCAAUCAAACCCGGUGAUAGCUGGUUCUCCCCGAAAUAUAUUGAGGUAUAGCCUCGGGAAUUGAUUAGCGGAGGUAAAGCACUGACAGAGCUAGGGGUCCUACCAGAUUACCAAACUCUAUCAAACUCAGAAUGCCGCUUAAUUGUAUCCCGGGAGUCAGACGGCGGGUGCGAAGGUUCGUCGUCAAAAGGGAAACAGCCCAGACCAACAGCUAAGGUCUCCAAAUCCAUGCUCAGUGGUGAAGGUAGUGGAACCGUUCAGACAGCCAGGACGUUGGCUUAGAAGCAGCCAUCGUUUAAAGAAAGCGUAAUAGCUCACUGGUCUAAUGGCUCUGCGCCGAAAAUGUAACGGGGCUAAGCAUGGUACCGAAGCUUUGGCAAUCUCCUUUGGAGAUUGGGUAGGGGAGCGUUCGCUGCGGGCUGAAGGUGUGCCGGAAGGCAUGCUGGACUGCAGUGAAGUGAUUAUGCUGACAUGAGUAACGAUAAAAUAUGUGAAAAACAUAUUCGCCGAAAACCCGAGGUUUCCUGGGUAAAGGUAAUCUUCCCAGGGUUAGUCGGAUCCUAAGGUGAGGGUGAAAGCCGUAACCGAUGGAAAACAGGUUAAUAUUCCUGUACUUGUUGUGUAGCGCGAUGGAGGGACGCAGGAAGAUAGGCGGGCCGGGUGUUGGAUAUCCCGGUGCAAGCGUGUAGGAAUAUCCGGUAGGCAAAUCCGCCGGACGAAUCUGAGACGCGAGUCCGUGGGCGCAAGCCCUGAAGCCGUUGAGUCUAUGCUGCCUAGAAAAGCUCCUAAGUUUAUCCACAGCAAUCCGUACCGCAAACCAACUCAGGUGGGUGGGAUGAACAAUCCAAGGCGCUCGAGAGAACUCUGGCCAAGGAACUCGGCAAAAUAACCCCGUAACUUCGGAAGAAGGGGUGCUCUCUAGGGUGACAUGUUUAACAUAUGAAGCCCCGGGGAGCCGCAGUGAAUUGGUGGUGGCGACUGUUUACUAAAAACAUAGGUCUGUGCGAAGUCCUAAAGACGACGUAUACGGACUGACGCCUGCCCGGUGCUGGAAGGUUAAAAGGAGGGGUCAGCGCAAGCAAAGCUCCGAAUUGAAGCCCCAGUAAACGGCGGCCGUAACUAUAACGGUCCUAAGGUAGCGAAAUUCCUUGUCGGGUAAGUUCCGACCU
rnacentral:rRNA from 1 species